UACGAAGGGGGCUAGCGUUGUUCUGAAUUACUGGGCGUAAAGCGUGCGCAGGCGGCUUCUCAAGUCAGGGGUGAAAGCCCAGAGCUCAACUCUGGAAUUGCCUUUGAGACUGAGUGGCUUGAGUACGAGAGAGGUGAGUGGAAUUCCCAGUGUAGAGGUGAAAUUCGUAGAUAUUGGGAAGAACACCGGUGGCGAAGGCGGCUCACUGGCUCGUAACUGACGCUCAUGCACGACAGCGUGGGGAUCAAACAGG
rnacentral:rRNA from 1 species